CAAAAUUUGCUCUUUUAGUAUUUCUCCAGUAGGUUUCCCGAAGGAGAAAGCCUCC
ensembl:snRNA U7 U7 small nuclear RNA